rnacentral:rRNA from 1 species
UACGGAGGGGGCUAGCGUUGUUCGGAAUUACUGGGCGUAAAGCGCACGUAGGCGGCUUUGUAAGUUAGAGGUGAAAGCCCAGGGCUUAACCCUGGAAUUGCCUUUAAGACUGCAUCGCUAGAAUCGUGGAGAGGUAAGUGGAAUUCCGAGUGUAGAGGUGAAAUUCGUAGAUAUUCGGAAGAACACCAGUGGCGAAGGCGACUUACUGGACACGUAUUGACGCUGAGGUGCGAAAGCGUGGGAGCAAACAGG